UACGUAGGGGCCAAGCGUUGUCCGGAUUUAUUGGGCGUAAAGAGCUCGUAGGCGGUUCGGCAAGUCAGCUGUGAAAUCUCCACGCUCAACGUGGAGGGGUCAGCUGAUACUGCUGUGACUCGAGUCCGGUAGGGGAGUGUGGAAUUCCUGGUGUAGCGGUGAAAUGCGCAGAUAUCAGGAGGAACACCAAUGGCGAAGGCAGCUCGCUGGGACGUGACUGACGCUGAGACGCGAAAGCGUGAGGAGCAAACAGG
rnacentral:rRNA from 1 species